rnacentral:rRNA from 1 species
GAUGAACGCUGGCGGCGUGCCUAAUACAUGCAAGUCGAGCGAACAGACGAGGAGCUUGCUCCUCUGACGUUAGCGGCGGACGGGUGAGUAACACGUGGAUAACCUACCUAUAAGACUGGGAUAACUUCGGGAAACCGGAGCUAAUACCGGAUAAUAUAUUGAACCGCAUGGUUCAAUAGUGAAAGACGGUUUUGCUGUCACUUAUAGAUGGAUCCGCGCCGCAUUAGCUAGUUGGUAAGGUAACGGCUUACCAAGGCAACGAUGCGUAGCCGACCUGAGAGGGUGAUCGGCCACCCUGGAACUGAGACCCGGUCCAGACUCCUACGGGAGGCAGCAGUAGGGAAUCUUCCGCAAUGGGCGAAAGCCUGACGGAGCAACGCCGCGUGAGUGAUGAAGGUCUUCGGAUCGUAAAACUCUGUUAUUAGGGAAGAACAAAUGUGUAAGUAACUAUGCACGUCUUGACGGUACCUAAUCAGAAAGCCACGGCUAACUACGUG